rnacentral:rRNA from 1 species
UGGUUCUCUAGGGAGCAUGUGCACGCUUGUCAUCUUUAUGUCUCCACUUGUGCACAUUUUGUAGAUCUGGAUAGCUUUCUAAAUGCAAUAGCAUUUGGGUUUGAAGAUUGACUUUGUUGUCUUUCUUUACAUUUUCAGGUCUAUGUUUCUUCAUAUACUCCAAUGUAUGUUAUAGAAUGUAAUAAACAGGCCUUUGUGCCUUGUAAACCUGUACAACUUUCAGCAACGGAUCUCUUGGUUCUCGCAUCGAUGAAGAACGCAGCGAAAUGCGAUAAGUAAUGUGAAUUGCAGAAUUCAGUGAAUCAUCGAAUCUUUGAACGCAUCUUGCGCUCCUUGGUAUUCCGAGGAGCAUGCCUGUUUGAGUGUCAUUAAUAUAUCAGCCUCCUCAGUGAGUGUUGGAUGUGGGGGUUUGCUGGUCUCUUUUGAGGUCAGCUCCCCUAAAAUAUAUUAGCGGAACAAUGUGUUGACUGUUCAUUGGUGUGAUAACUUAUCUACGCUUAUUGACAUGAAGCAGGUUCAGCUUAUAACAAGUCUAUUGACAUUUUAUUAAUGUGACCUCAAAUCAGGUAGGACUACCCGCUGAACUUAAGCAUAUCAAUAA